rnacentral:lncRNA from 1 species
AAAUCCCAAUGGUUAAUAACCUAAAAAUGUUUACAAUUGGAAAAGGACCUCGGUGCUACCACGGUACAACCGAGGUGCACUGUCUCAGGGCACUUUCCCCUUGGCUGGAGUGUUCAAGGCCAGUGGUCCCAUAUUUCACUGCUGAGCCCCCAGCUGAGGUCACAGAAGACAAUAGAGUGGUGGAACUGAAAUGUUUUAUACUGCUGUAUGUCAGAGACUCAACCCUAACCCUAUCCUAAUUCUGACCUAACCCAAACGUAACCAUAACCCUACCCCGAAGCCUAACUUAAACCUAACCUUAACCUAACUCUAAUGUAACCCUAACUUAACCCUAAAUGAACUCUAACCUAACCCUGAUGUAACCCUAACCUUAAACUAACAGUAGCUGCAGCCCUAACUCUAGCUAUAACCCUAACCAUAGCUCCAAAUCUAACUCUAGCUGUAACCCUACCUCUAGCCGUAACCCUAGCUCCAACCCUAACACUAACCCUAGCUCGAACCCUAACCCUAGCUGAAACCCUAACCGUAGAUCUAAACCUAACCCUAACUCCAGACUUAACCCCAGCUCCAACCCUAUCCCCAGCUCUUACCCUAACCCUAGUCCCAACCCUAACCCUACCUGUUACCCUAAUCGUAACUGUAACCCUAACCCUAACUCAAGACCUAACCCUAGCUUUAACCCUAAUCCUUGCUCCAGCCCUAACACAAACUCCAACCCUAGCCCCAGCUCUUACCUUAAUCCUAGUCCCAACCCUAACCCUAGCUGUAAACCUAACUCUAGCUCUAGCCAUAACCCAAGCUCCAACCCUAACCCUACCUUCAACCUCAACCCUAGCUAUAACACUAACCCCAGCUCCAACCCUAACCCUAGCUCCAGCCAUAACCCAAGCUCCAACCCUAACCCUAUCUCCCACCCUCGCCCUAGCUCCAGCCAUAACCCUCGCUCUAACCCUAAUCCUCCCUCUAACCCUAUCCCUCACUCUAACCCUAACCCAUGCUCCAACCCUAACCCUAGCUCCAGCCCUAACCUUACCUCCAUCUCUAACCCUAACCGUAGCUCUAGCCCUAUCUCUUCCUUCAACCCUAACCCUAGCUAUAACACUUACCCAAGCUCCAUCCCUAACCCAAGCUCUAUCCCUAACCGUAGCUGCAACCCUAACCCAAGGUGCAAACCUAACCCAAUCUCCAACCCUAAUGAUAGCUCCAACCCUAACCCUAGCUCUGACCCUAAGCCUUCGUCCAACCCUAACCUUAACCCUAUCCCUAAUCCUAGCUCUAUCCCUAACUCUUGCCUUAACUCUAACCUGAG